rnacentral:rRNA from 1 species
AGUGAACGCUGGCGGUAGGCCUAACACAUGCAAGUCGAACGGCAGCACAGUAAGAGCUUGCUCUUACGGGUGGCGAGUGGCGGACGGGUGAGGAAUACAUCGGAAUCUACUUUUUCGUGGGGGAUAACGUAGGGACACUUACGCUAAUACCGCAUACGACCUACGGGUGAAAGCAGGGGAUCUUCGGACCUUGCGCGAUUGUAUGAGCCGAUGUCGGAUUAUCUAGUUGGCGGGGUAAAGGCCCACCAAGGCGACGAUCCGUAGCUGGUCUGAGAGGAUGAUCAGCCACACUGGAACUGAGACACGGUCCAGACUCCUACGGGAGGCAGCAGUGGGGAAUAUUGGACAAUGGGCGCAAGCCUGAUCCAGCCAUACCGCGUGGGUGAAGAAGGCCUUCGGGUUGUAAAGCCCUUUUGUUGGGAAAGAAAAGCAGCAGGUUAAUACCCCGCUGUUCUGACGGUACCCAAAGAAUAAGCACCGGCUAACUUCGUG